UACGGGGGGAGCAAGCGUUGUUCGGAUUUACUGGGCGUAAAGGGCGCGUAGGCGGCCACCGCAAGUCAGUUGUGAAAUCUCUGGGCUUAACCCAGAACGGUCAGCCGAUACUGCGGGGCUAGAGUGCAGAAGGGGCAACUGGAAUUCUCGGUGUAGCGGUGAAAUGCGUAGAUAUCGAGAGGAACACCUGCGGCGAAGGCGGGUUGCUGGGCUGACACUGACGCUGACAGCGCGAAAGCUAGGGGAGCGAACGGG
rnacentral:rRNA from 1 species